rnacentral:rRNA from 1 species
AGGUGGUCUUGGACUCAGAAUAUAGCUUAAUUAAAGCAUUUUGCUUACACCAAAAAAAUAUCCUUUAGAUUAUUCUGAUACUGUAAAUUUAGCCUUUUUAAUCAUUCCCUCCCAUCCUGUAAUUAAAUCAUUUAAAAUAUGUUAGUAUGAGUGACAGAAAACUUAUUAGCGCAAUAAACAAAGUACUGUAAAGGAAUAAUGAAAUAGAAAUUAAAUAAUCCAUAAAAGUAUAAUAAAGCAAAGAUUAAUACUUUUACCUUUUGCAUAAUGAUCUAACAAGUCUUUCCCAACAAAAAUAUUUACGCCGGAAACCCCGAAACCAAACGAGCUACCUUAGAGCAGUAUAUUGAACAUAAUUUUCUCUGUGGCAAAAGAGAGGAGAGACUCUUAGGUAGAGGUGAAAAACCAAACGAGUAUGGAGAUAGCUGGUUAUUUGGGAAUGAAUUAAGUUCAACUAAAAGCAAACAUACCAACAAGGUCAUAAUAAUGCUUUUAAUAUAAUAAACUAGGGUACAGCCUAUUUUAUAAAGGGAACAGCCUAUAUAUAUGAAUAAAGAUUAUAAUAAAUCACAUAACUAAGUAGGCCUAAAAGCAGCCAUCAAAAUAGCGUCACAGCUUAAUUAUAUAUUUUAAAUAUUUUAAUAAACUAUCUAAAUUCAAUUUAACAACCAAAUUAAUCUAUUUAUAGAUAAACUACUAUUAGAAUGAGUAAUAAGGAAUACCUCUUAAUACACAUGUAAAUCAAAACAAACUCCAUUGACAAUUAACGGAAAAAUUCACUUUAACAAGAAACUAAAUUCCACUCGCCGUUAAUCCAACACAGGUGUAUAAAAGAAAGAUAUAAAGCUUAAGAAGGAACUCGGCAAGCCCAGGCUUCGCCUGUUUACCAAAAACAUCGCCUUUCGAUAAAUAAAUAUGAAAGGUCCUGCCUGCCCAGUGAUAUUAUUUCAACGGCCGCGGUAUUAUGACCGUGCAAAGGUAGCAUAAUCACUUGUCUCUUAAAUUAAGACCAGCAUGAAUGGCAAAACGAAAGCCUAACUGUCUCCUUAAGUUAGUCAAUGAAAUUGAUCUUCCCGUGCAGAAGCGGGUAUAAAAAUAUAAGACGAGAAGACCCUGUGGAGCUUAAAAAUAAGGCUAUACAAAGAUUUUGUAAUAACAUCAAAUUUAGGUUGGGGCGACCACGAGGUAAAACAUAACCCUCAAGAUAAUAACUAGAAGGACAUUUCAAACAAAAUAAAAUUUAUAUAUUGACCCAAUAAUGAUCAACGAACCAAGUUACCCCAGGGAUAACAGCGCAAUCCAUUUCCAGAGUCCAUAUCGACGAAUGGGUUUACGACCUCGAUGUUGGAUCAGGAC